UACGUAGGGGCCUAGCGUUGUCCGGAUUUAUUGGGCGUAAAGAGCUCGUAGGCGGUUUGGUGAGUCGGGUGUGAAAUCUCCACGCUCAACGUGGAGGGGCCACCCGAUACUGCCAUGACUAGAGUCCGGUAGGGGAGUGUGGAAUUCCCGGUGUAGCGGUGAAAUGCGCAGAUAUCAGGAAGAACACCAACGGCGAAGGCAGCUCGCUGGGACGGAACUGACGCUGAGGCGCGAAAGCGUGGGGAGCAAACAGG
rnacentral:rRNA from 1 species